rnacentral:rRNA from 1 species
UACGAAGGGGGCGAGCGUUUGUUCGGAUUUACUGGGCGUAAAGGGCGCGCAGGCGGCUACAUUUGUCAGGCGUGAAAGCCCGGGCUUAACCUGGGAACUGCGUUUGAUACGGUGUGGCUAGAGUUCGGGAGAGGAGAGUGGAAUUCCCAGUGUAGAGGUGAAAUUCGAUAGAUAUUGGGAAGAACACCGGUGGCGAAGGCGGCUCUCUGGACCGAUACUGACGCUGAGGCGCGAAAGCGUGGGGAGCAAACAGG